GACGAACGCUGGCGGCGUGCUUAAUACAUGCAAGUCGAGCGAGGUUACUGUUUUGGAUCCCUUCGGGGUGAAGAAGCUUUAACCUAGCGGCGGACGGGUGAGUAACGCGUGGGUAACCUACCCCAAAGUCCGGGAUAACAGCGGGAAACCGCUGCUAAUACCGGAUGUCUUUACCUUGGGGCAUCUUGAGGUAAAGAAAGGUAACGCUUUAGGAUGGGCCCGCGUCCCAUUAGCUAGUUGGUGAGGUAACGGCUCACCAAGGCGACGAUGGGUAGCCGGCCUGAGAGGGUGGACGGCCACACUGGGACUGAGACACGGCCCAGACUCCUACGGGAGGCAGCAGUAGGGAAUAUUGCGCAAUGGACGGAAGUCUGACGCAGCGACGCCGCGUGAGCGAUGAAGGUCUUCGGAUCGUAAAGCUCUGUCCUUGGGGAAGAAGGUCUUCGGACUUGACGGUACCCAAGAAGAAAGCCCCGGCUAACUACGUG
rnacentral:rRNA from 1 species